rnacentral:rRNA from 1 species
CUACGUGCCAGCAGCCGCGGUAAUACGGAAGGUCCGGGCGUUAUCCGGAUUUAUUGGGUUUAAAGGGAGCGUAGGCUGGAGAUUAAGUGUGUUGUGAAAUGUAGACGCUCAACGUCUGAAUUGCAGCGCGAACUGGUUCACUUGAGUAUGCACAACGUAGGCGGAAUUCGUCGUGUAGCGGUGAAAUGCUUAGAUAUGACGAAGAACUCCGAUUGCGAAGGCAGCUUACGGGAGCACAACUGACGCUGAAGCUCGAAGGUGCGGGUAUCAAACAGGAUUAGAUACCCUGGUAGUCCGCACAGUAAACGAUGGAUGCCCGUUGUUAGUUCACUUAUGAAUUAGCGACCAAGCGAAAGCAUUAAGCAUCCCACCUGGGGAGUACGCCGGCAACGGUGAAACUCAAAGGAAUUGACGGGGGCCCGCACAAGCGGAGGAACAUGUGGUUUAAUUCGAUGAUACGCGAGGAACCUUACCCGGGCUUGAAUUGCAGACGAACGAUUCAGAGA